GAAUCUGGCUCUAGGUCUGGGACAACCACUGGAAACGGUGGCUAAUACCGGAUGUGCCUGUGGGUGAAAGGUUAACUGCCUGGAGAUGAGCUCGCGUCUGAUUAGCUAGUUGGUGGUGUAAGGGACUACCAAGGCGACGAUCAGUAGCUGGUCUGAGAGGAUGAUCAGCCACACUGGAACUGAGACACGGUCCAGACUCCUACGGGAGGCAGCAGUGGGGAAUUUUCCGCAAUGGGCGAAAGCCUGACGGAGCAAUACCGCGUGAGGGAGGAAGGCUCUUGGGUUGUAAACCUCUUUUCUCAAGGAAGAAUGAUGACGGUACUUGAGGAAUCAGCAUCGGCUAACUCCGUGCCAGCAGCCGCGGUAAUACGGAGGAUGCAAGCGUUAUCCGGAAUGAUUGGGCGUAAAGCGUCCGUAGGUGGCUGUGUGUGUCUAUUGUUAAAGAGUUUGGCUCAACCAAAUAAGGGCGGUAGAAACUACACAGCUAGAGUGCGUUCGGGGCAGAGGGAAUUCCUGGUGUAGCGGUGAAAUGCGUAGAGAUCAGGAAGAACACCGGUGGCGAAAGCGCUCUGCUAGGCCGCAACUGACACUGAGGGACGAAAGCUAGGGGAGCG
rnacentral:rRNA from 1 species